AGCUUGGUAGGUUAAAUUAAACCGUGGUAUUGCAAAUACUGAGAUGAGUAAUUUUCCGCUCG
rnacentral:tRNA from 1 species